UACGUAGGGUGCGAGCGUUAAUCGGAAUUACUGGGCGUAAAGCGUGCGCAGGCGGUUUUGCAAGCCGGAUGUGAAAUCCCCGGGCUUAACCUGGGAAUGGCAUUUGGGACUGCAAGGCUGGAGUGCGGCAGAGGAGACUGGAAUUCCUGGUGUAGCAGUGAAAUGCGUAGAUAUCAGGAGGAAUACCGAUGGCGAAGGCAGGUCUCUGGGCUGAUACUGACGCUGAGGAGCGAAAGCGUGGGGAGCGAACAGG
rnacentral:rRNA from 1 species